rnacentral:miRNA from 1 species
GAUGCUGAUGCUGAUGCUG